rnacentral:rRNA from 1 species
ACAAUGAAGAGUUUGAUCCUGGCUCAGGAUGAACGCUAGCGGCAGGCCUAACACAUGCAAGUCGAGGGGUAACAGGGGAGCUUGCUUCCGCUGACGACCGGCGAACGGGUGCGUAACACGUAUGCAACCUACCUCUAACUGGGGAAUAGCUCAUAGAAAUGUGAAUUAAUACCCCAUAAUAUAUAAUAAAGGCAUCUUUUUUAUAUUAAAGCUCCGGCGGUUAGAGAUGGGCAUGCGGGACAUUAGCUUGUUGGUGAGGUAACGGCUCACCAAGGCUGCGAUGUCUAGGGGGUCUGAGAGGACUAUCCCCCACACUGGUACUGAGACACGGACCAGACUCCUACGGGAGGCAGCAGUGAGGAAUAUUGCGCAAUGGAGGAAACUCUGACGCAGCCAUGCCGCGUGCAGGAAUAAGGCCCUAUGGGUUGUAAACUGCUUUUAUACGGGAAGAACUAUAUCUACGUGUAGAUAUUUGACGGUACCGUAAGAAUAAGGAUCGGCUAACUCCGUGCCAGCAGCCGCGGUAAUACGGAGGAUCCAAGCGUUAUCCGGAUUUAUUGGGUUUAAAGGGUCCGCAGGCGGGAAAUUAAGUCAGUGGUGAAAUCCUACAGCUUAACUGUAGAACUGCCAUUGAUACUGAUUUUCUUGAGUACACCUGAAGUGGGCGGAAUGUGUCAUGUAGCGGUGAAAUGCUUAGAUAUGACACAGAACACCGAUUGCGAAGGCAGCUCACUAAAGUGUCACUGACGCUGAGGGACGAAAGCGUGGGUAGCGAACAGGAUUAGAUACCCUGGUAGUCCACGCCGUAAACGAUGAUCACUAGAUGUUGGCGAUAUAUUGUCAGUAUCUGAGCGAAAGUAUUAAGUGAUCCACCUGGGGAGUACGGUCGCAAGAUUGAAACUCAAAGGAAUUGACGGGGGCCCGCACAAGCGGUGGAGCAUGUGGUUUAAUUCGAUGGUACGCGAGGAACCUUACCUAGGCUUAAAUGUAGAUUGACGUAUUGGGAAACCAGUAUUUCUUCGGACAAUUUACAAGGUGCUGCAUGGUUGUCGUCAGCUCGUGCUGUGAAGUGUCGGGUUAAGUCCCAUAACGAGCGCAACCCCUAUCAUUAGUUGCUAACAUUUAGUUGAGGACUCUAAUGAAACUGCCCGCGUAAGCGGAGAGGAAGGUGGGGAUGACGUCAAAUCAUCACGGCCCUUACGUCUAGGGCUACACACGUGCUACAAUGGUGAAUACAGAGGGAAGCCAGCUGGUAACAGUGAGCAAAUCCAAAAAAUUCAUCUCAGUUCGGAUUGAGGUCUGCAACUCGACCUCAUGAAGCUGGAAUCGCUAGUAAUCGUAUAUCAGCCAUGAUACGGUGAAUACGUUCCCGGGCCUUGUACACACCGCCCGUCAAGCCAUGGAAGUUGGGGGUACCUGAAGUCGGUAACCGAAAGGAGCUGCCUAAGGUAAACUCAGUAACUGGGGCUAAGUCGUAACAAGGUAGCCGUACCGGAAGGUGUGGCUGGAAUAUCUCUUUU